GCACUAAUGGGUUAGUGGUAACCUGGGUCGUUGCCAUCGACCCGCCGGGGGUUCGAUUCCCCCUUAGUGCA
rnacentral:tRNA from 1 species